AUGAUUAGUUAUGCAAAUGAAUUUGGCAGGCAUGGAUGUAUAUGUGGAGAGAGCUUGCAAAAAAUAAUGGGAAGAAGAAUACCUAUCAGAGUCUCUCCGAUGGAGCUUCAGAAAAAAACAACUGUUUUGCAGGGCAGAUUAGGACAGAAGCUUGGCAUGGUAUUUGUUGAAACAAGGUUGGAGAAAAUGGACAGCAUUACACUAAAAAAUUGGGCUGUUAUUGGAUUAAAACAGUGCUGGAAAAUGGGCAGCAUUGAGACAGUUUUGUAG